UAAGACGAACCGUGCGAACGUUGUUCGGAAUCACUGGGCUUAAAGGGCGCGUAGGCGGGCUCGCCGGUCCGGGGUGAAAGCCCCCAGCUCAACUGGGGAAGCGCCUUGGAUACCGCGAGUCUGGAGGGAGGUAGGGGCGUGCGGAACUUCCGGUGGAGCGGUGAAAUGCGUAGAUAUCGGAAGGAACACCGGUGGCGAAAGCGGCGCGCUGGACCUCUUCUGACGCUGAGGCGCGAAAGCCAGGGGAGCAAACGGG
rnacentral:rRNA from 1 species